UUGGGGAAAGUUUAUUACUAACUGAAUGUAUUAAUGGUGUAUCAUUACAGUAUUUAUUAUUAUUAUUAUUUAUGACGAUGACUUAUUUUAUGUUAUUAUUUAUUCCCUGUAUAGGUCCAUGCCCCAGGAGUUCAUAGUUUACAAUAUAGUGUAAACAAGAACAGUAUAUGGAGAUGACAACACAGAGGGGGCAUGCAAAGGGAGGAGAAAGGUGCUAAUAAUAUGAGCAUGCAGUUCACACCAUAGUGUACUUGAUGUGCCACUGCAGCCAGCCUGGGCCUCAUCUGCUGAGGUCCUGCAACUGGAAUAUCAACAAAGGUUGUUUUGGAGGAAGAGGGAGUGUGAGCCUGAGGCUUUAUAGUCCAGUUGCACUGGCCUGAGAUGUGGGAGACCCAGGUUUAAAUCUCUGCCCUGCUUCAUUCAGUCAUCUGGAAUGAAAAAAAAAACUGCUCUUAACCUGGGUCUUCCAACACCCAGACUGGUGUCCUAACACAAAGCUAGAAAAAGAGACACAUCACUACCUCUCUUCACGAAUCGAAAAACUCAAGUUUCAAACCAAAACCAAACAUUAUGACACAAUUCUGCUUUUCAUGAAAAUAUUCAAAAGGUCUUGGCUUCAUUUCAAUGUGGAAUGAAAAGAAAGGUCCAGAGCUGCCGCAAAAUGGAAUUGUCAUCUUCUAGACAGUUCUAACGUUAACCCUUGUCAGACACAUUAGGUACUGGCCGCUGCUAAAGACACCGGGCUAUCAGACCAUUAGUCUGAUCUGUUAUGAUAAAUCUUACAUGUUCUUUUUACUCUUUGAAUUUAUAUAUUCCCUCCCGCACCUCACCUCAAAACUUUGUUAACGCUGAGUUAAGGUUUCUAGACUGCAUAUCUCACCAACGCAAACAUCACUGCAAACGUGUACAGCACGUCUUGGUCUCAGGAGAGAUACUUCUGCUGCCAGUCUCAUACAAGACGCCCUUAAAGGAGGGAAACUUGGGGUGGCAGAACUCUCCCAUAGAUGGAGAAACAACUGCUGCCAUUCAGCCCACGCUCUCUACAAUAUCGUAUAUCAGUAAUGCCCCCAGGGAAAUCUGUGAGCCACUGAUGGUCUGCUGAGACCAGGUGAUCAUCACAUAGUUCUAAUUCUCUUCCAUGUUACCACCUCCUAAAUUACAUUAUAAAAUAUAUGCCAGAAUAGGAUCCUUUUUAUUUUCCUCCUAAUGUCAUAAUGUUUAGGGUUUUCAUCAAGCUUUGUUCUGCACCCAGAAGGGCUAGAAUUUUUUUUUUAAAUAAAGCUGAGAUGUUCAAGUAAUAACCUUGUUCCAGGAAUUGAGGCUUUAAGAAAAACACCAAAUAUCAUGAGACUUGGGAUGAAAUUAGAAGAGUUGGCAACACUGUUGGCUUUCAAAAAUGUUUUCCAUCCUGAACUGGGAAGAAAACGUUCAAUCUUCAAAUUUUCACUAACUGAAAAUCUGAGAAAAAAUUUGGGGCAGGUCAACUGAAACAUAUUGUUUCAAUUUUACCUUUUUUAAAUUUUUUUUAAAACACAUUUUUAAAAAUAUAAAUUAACUUAAAUUUUAAACCAAAAAGUCUCUUUGAUCCAAACCCCAGAAUCUUUUAGCUUAGAAUAUGUUGAAACAUUCAACAAUUUUGAACCUUUUAAAAAAACAACAUUUUUUUCAAAUAGGAAAUUUGUCACAACUGCCCCUUUCCUGCAGCUUUGAUUUGGAUGAAUUGGUAUUCUCCAGUAAAAAAAAACAUUACAUGGAAUAAUUCUUGACUAGCCCUAAUAUAUAAAGGGAUAUGCUGUACACAUGGAGAUGCUACAUGAUUGCAAGUGGGAGGGAGGUAUCCAUAAGACAUUCUGUCUGCUAAGAUAUGGUCCACACUAUGAAAAACUGUGAGAAUACCGUGGGUUGUUUUUUUGGUUUUGUUUGGUUUUUUUGGGGUUACUGUUGCAGGAGAAACAAAGAAGCAUGAACAAGAGCAACUACUCAAUGACAUAUCAUCAUUAAUUAUUCUCACUAUUAAAAAUGUAUGCCUUGUUUCUAGUCUGAAUUCGUCUAGCUUCAGCUUCCAGCUUCUUGAGUCUAUCAUAUAAAGUAUCUUUUCUAAUCAUGUAAUCGUUCUUGGGGCUUUUCACUGAACCCUCUCCAAUUUAUUAACAUCCUUCUUGAAUUGUAGAAACCAGAACUGGACAUGAUAUGCCAGCAGCCAUCGCACAAGUGUCAAAUACAGAGGUAAAAUAACCUCUUUACUUCUACUCAAGAUUCCCCUCUUUAUCCAAAGAUUGCAUAAGACUUUUGGCCACAGCAUCACACUGGGAGGUCAUGUUCAGCUGAUUAUCCACCACAAUCCCCAAAUCUUUUUCAGAGUCACUGCUUCCCAGGAUAGAGUCCCGCAACAUGUAAGUAUAGCCUACCUUCUUUGUUCCUAUAUGUGUACAUUUACAUUUAGCUGUAUUAAAACACAUAGUGUUUGCUUGUGCCCAAUGUACCAAGCGAUCCAGAUCAAUGACCAUUCCGCUUCAUUAUUUGUUUUCUUCCAGGUUAUUAAUAAAUAUGUUAAAGAGCAUAGGGCCAAGACCAAUUCCUGUGAGACCCCACUAGAAACAUACCUGUUUGCUGAUGAGUCCCAUUUACAGGUACAUUUUGAUAACUAUCUGUUAGUCAGGUUAAAAUCCAUUUAUU